AGCUGUUAGAUUUUGUGCCAUGAUAUGGGAGUUACGUGAAAGUGAUCGUGGGGAUUUGAGAAAUUUUAGGAAUCUAAAAACUAAAAAAUCUAAGAAACAAAAAGUAAGUUCUUUUUUGUUAAAACUAUUUCUGUCACAAUUCUUUAAUUUUCCUAUUGGCUCCGAUUUUUACCAAUGUCAUCCGUUCUAGUUUGAUUCGUCAUGUGUGUAAGUUAGAUAAAAAUAUGUAAAAAACUGUUUAAAGUUGUGAAAGUUAAUUUUGAACGUGUGAUAAGAUCAUUUGAAAAAAUAUAGGAGAAUUUGGAACUGCAAAAAAAGAAUGGAUUGACGUGAAUAUU
rnacentral:lncRNA from 1 species